rnacentral:rRNA from 1 species
GUGUCAGCCGCCGCGGUAAAACCAGCACCUCAAGUGGUCAGGAUGAUUAUUGGGCCUAAAGCAUCCGUAGCCGGCUUUGUUAGUUUUCGGUUAAAUCCAUGUGCUCAACGCAUGGGCUGCCGAAAAUACUGCAUGGCUAGGGAGUGGGAGAGGUAGACGGUACUCAGUAGGAAGGGGUAAAAUCCUUUGAUCUAUUGAUGACCACCUGUGGCGAAGGCGGUCUACCAGAACACGUUCGACGGUGAGGGAUGAAAGCUGGGGGAGCAAACCGGAUUAGAUACCCGGGUAGUCCCAGCUGUAAACGAUGCAGACUCGAUGAUGCAUUGGCAUAAUAGCCAGUGCAGUGUCGCAGGGAAGCCGUUAAGUCUGCCGCCUGGGAAGUACGUACGCAAGUAUGAAACUUAAAGGAAUUGGCGGGGGAGCACCACAAGGGGUGAAGCCUGCGGUUCAAUUGGAGUCAACGCCAGAAAUCUUACCCGGAGAGACAGCAGAAUGAAGGUCAAGCUGAAGACUUUACCAGACAAGCUGAGAGGUGGUGCAUGGCCGUCGCCAGCUCGUGCCGUGAGAUGUCCUGUUAAGUCAGGUAACAAGCGAGAUCCCUGCCACUAGUUGCUAUCAUUAUUCUCAGGAAUAGUGGGGCGAAUUAGUGGGACUGCCGUUGUUAAAACGGAGGAAGGAAGGGGCUACGGCAGGUCAGUAUGCCCCGAAACUCUGGGGCCACACGCGGGCUGCAAUGGUAGUGACAAUGAGUUCCAAACUCGAAAGAGAGUGGCAAUCUCUAAACGCUACCACAGUUAUGACUGAGGGCUGUAACUCGCCCUCACGAAUAUGGAAUCCCUAGUAACCGCGUGUCAUUACCGCGCGGUGAAUACGUCCCUGCUCCUUGCACACACCGCCCGUC